ACUCCCUCCCUGCCCCACGCCCAAUCCCCUCGCCCGCACCGCUCCCUCCCUCCUUGAUCUCUCUCCCUCGCCAGCCGCCUUUGGUGGGAAACCCUAGCCCACCGCCACUCGCGUCCGUCUCCUCCGGCCAGCCUCCGCCCGCAACCUCCCCCCUCCCGUUUUCAGAAGGGAAGGGAGGGAAGGGAAGAGAAGAGGGGUAGCGAGCGGGUCAGGUGGCCAUGGCGCUUGCAGAUCCACCGGCCCCGUCGUCGCCGCUGCGCUCGCAGGAGCAUGGCCUCGAUCUGGAGCAGGAGAGGCCAGGAGUGACAUGGUCACAUGGGAGAAGCUCGGCUGCUUGCUGGUGGUGACGGAUGCGCUCAGACCUGUGGCCCGGUCUCGCCGCCGUGCGCCGUCCACCUCCCCGCGGGCAUGCCGGCCACCUCCCCAUCUGACGCACAUCUUCCCCAUGGGGCCAUGGUACACGGUGAGCAGCAGUGUGAGUUCCACACAUUUUGAAGCUACAGCCGCUGGAAACCAGUGAAGAAUGAACAAAGGUGGAUCCACCAGCAGCUUCGAGUAGGAUGAGGAGAUCUGGACGGAGUUCGUGUUUCAGCAACCAUGGUAGCGUGUCCUCCGACCUCGACCUAUAGGCAAAGACGUCUUCUUAAUGUUGCAGAAGUUUGGAGGCAUCAAGGAAUGCAUCCUCCUAUUGCUAUGCAAACUGAGGAAAUCAAAGUGAUGGGAAAUCAUUGUACAACAGCUGUUGACUUCAGGAUAUUUCAUGGAUGAGUUAUACUCCUUGACUCCCAUGAGUGUAUCAUCCGCUUGCUAUGCAAACUGAGGAAAUCAAAGUGGCAAAGCAAUUGACUGCAUGUGUUGACUUCAGGAUAUCUCAAGGAUGAGUUAGAAUCUAUGACGCUCAGGGAUGCAUCCUCUGCUUGCUACACAAACUGAGGAAACCAAAGCAGCAAAGCAUUGUACUGCAGAUGUCGACUUCGGAAUAUCUCAUGAACCAGUUAUACUCCUUGAUGCUCAUGGAUAUUGUGUGAGCUCUGGUACAAACUUUUAAGACAAUCACUUAAUACAUUCAUGGGAUCACCAACUUUUGGCGUUUGUUGAUACUAGCUAGGCACCAAGCCGUCCGCUGUUGUCUCUCCCUGUAGAAGGAUUAUGGUUCUCCACCUUUUUUCUAAUCAUAUUAAAAUUCCGGAUUAAUUUUGUUUGUACUUUAACCAGUUCAAGGUUUGGUGGUCGAGCACUAUGAUCUUUGCACACUAAGGUUCGGUUGUGUUCUUUGAGAAAUAUAUGUCCUACAAGUCUCAUGUGUCUUGUCUUGUUUUCGCUUUCCAAGCUACAAGCUUUUGAUAUAAUUCAAACGUGAUUCUUUAUAUGUUGUUUGUUCCAUCAAUCUUAAAUGUAAAUUAGCAAUUAGGCAUCGACAUAGUAUAGUGGAACCAUUGUGCUUGAUGCAGUUUUAUUUUAGUGUUGAAAUGUUUUUCUAAGUUUGUUUGGUGUUGAGAAAUAUAUUCAUUUUCCAACAAAUGUUUUCUAAAUCCUAUCAACACAUUACCUGAUAUGGCCUUUGAAGUUUCUAUUUUAUAACGAUCUUUGUUGCAGUGGUCAACUUGAGUAUGGUAUAGCUUAUUCUUUUCUGUUGCAGCUAUUCCGGAGAAGUUUAGAGCUUCUGCAACCUUUUGAAGACACGAUUUGUAGUUGCAGAGAUGAAACAAUCAAUCAGUCGCGAUGCAUUACAUAAUCUUUUUGCUUUGGACAUUGAUGGGUAUUAUUUUGCCACAAAGGACAGGAGCUGUGCCAUUUGACUCGAAGGAUAAAGCGUUCAUCACAAGGGGGUGGUCUUUAGGAUGUACACAAAAGAGGAAAUUUCCUUUUGUAUAGAACCAAAUUAUAUGAUUUAAUUGACCAUUCUCUUGUACACAAUGUUUAUCAUGUAUUAAGUACAUUUUAUUGUCAAAUAUGUUUACUUUUUUUUAGUGCACAAGUUCA